GAUGAACGCUGGCGGCGUGCCUAAUACAUGCAAGUCGAGCGAACAGACGAGGAGCUUGCUCCUCUGACGUUAGCGGCGGACGGGUGAGUAACACGUGGAUAACCUACCUAUAAGACUGGGAUAACUUCGGGAAACCGGAGCUAAUACCGGAUAAUAUAUUGAACCGCAUGGUUCAAUAGUGAAAGACGGUUUUGCUGUCACUUAUAGAUGGAUCCGCGCCGCAUUAGCUAGUUGGUAAGGUAACGGCUUACCAAGGGAACGAUGCGUAGCCGACCUGAGAGGGUGAUCGGCCACACUGGAACUGGAACACGGUCCAGACUCCUACGGGAGGCAGCAGUAGGGAAUCUUCCGCAAUGGGCGAAAGCCUGACGGAGCAACGCCGCGUGAGCGAUGAAGGUCUUCGGAUCGUAAAACUCUGUUAUUAGGGAAGAACAAAUGUGUAAGUAACUAUGCACGUCUUGACGGUACCUAAUCAGAAAGCCACGGCUAACUACGUG
rnacentral:rRNA from 1 species